AGAAGGUGAGUGAGUGCUGGGUCAGAGUGGACAAGGAAGAGUCCCAGCUGGCUCCAGCGAGCCUCCCUCCCCCUUCCCUGUCAGGGGCGCCUCCAGGUACAGAGAAAGCCAGACUAACCACUACUAGUCUGGGCGAGCUGUCAGCCAUCUGGGUCAAAUGAUGAACUGUGAGAUGAACAAGACUUGGAACCAAGUUCUUUCUUCAAGGUGUCCAGAAGAUCCCACCUCAGCCCUGCAGGGCAAUGUGUGGAUACCGGAGGAGUGAACACUAGGUUAGGCAGGUUCCUGGCUACUUACACACAUACAUACACAUUAGCUUACAAAAAGAGAUUGGACUUCAGAGAUGACAACUGACAUGGCUAAAGUAACAUUGGAACUAUGAGGAAGAGCUUGGAUUCAAUGCAAAUCUGUUACCACAGGGCUAACUAAGUUGUUAGUAUC
rnacentral:lncRNA from 1 species